CAGAAGAGAAACCGCGGCGGGACAGAGACACUCUCUGUUAGAUGGGGAUAAUGGAAAGCUGCUGAGGAAUUUCAAAGAGCACUGGCAGGAGUAAAUUUUGGUGUGAUCUGUUUGACAACUGGAUAUGAAGUGAUCAGGAGAAGAGGAAUGUUCCAGACAUUGCAAAUAAGAAGAGUGAAGGAUGACAGAUCAAUUAGCUGAGAGAUAAAAAAUGAGAAGACUGGGGGGACAUUGGUACUGGAAAAUUUCACUUACCUGAGCAGCCAGGAUCCAGGGGAAGCUGACAUUGAAGAGAGGAUAAAUACAAAGUGUUUCCUGGUGCCUUUACUAAUGUGGCAAUAGAAAGAACAAGCUCAAGAAAUUCAAUCAAAGUUGCAGAUAAUAGCAACUUCCCAUUGCUUUAAAAAGUAAUAAUAACCACAACACACUAUGAGAUAAAGCUCCAGGAGAAACAAUAAAGAGAAGAAAUGCACCUUUGAGAGUUGGGGUUCUAAAUGGCAAUAAUCACUUGCCAAAGAUUAUCGUGUGACUAUUAGCCACAACUAUUCCUCAUCCAGCAAGAGCUGAGGAGCAUAAGGGCAUCAGAGAUUCAUCCUGUGUGAAAGGUGAGAUUGCAAUGCUCAAAUGCUCAUGAGGCCUGAGCCCCAUCACUAAGUUGAAAAGCAUUUAUUU
rnacentral:lncRNA from 10 species